GACGAACGCUGGCGGCGUGCCUAAUACAUGCAAGUUGAGCGCUGAAGGUUGGUACUUGUACCAACUGGAUGAGCAGCGAACGGGUGAGUAACGCGUGGGGAAUCUGCCUUUGAGCGGGGGACAACAUUUGGAAACGAAUGCUAAUACCGCAUAAAAACUUUAAACACAAGUUUUAAGUUUGAAAGAUGCAAUUGCAUCACUCAAAGAUGAUCCCGCGUUGUAUUAGCUAGUUGGUGAGGUAAAGGCUCACCAAGGCGAUGAUACAUAGCCGACCUGAGAGGGUAAUCGGCCACAUUGGGACUGAGACACGGCCCAAACUCCUACGGGAGGCAGCAGUAGGGAAUCUUCGGCAAUGGACGGAAGUCUGACCGAGCAACGCCGCGUGAGUGAAGAAGGUUUUCGGAUCGUAAAACUCUGUUGGUAGAGAAGAACGUUGGUGAGAGUGGAAAGCUCAUCAAGUGACGGUAACUACCCAGAAAGGGACGGCUAACUACGUG
rnacentral:rRNA from 1 species